GACGAACGCUGGCGGCGUGCUUAACACAUGCAAGUCGAACGGAAAGGCCCUGCUUUUGUGGGGUGCUCGAUUGGCGAACGGGUGAGUAACACGUGAGUAACCUGCCCUUGACUUUGGGAUAACUUCAGGAAACUGGGGCUAAUACCGGAUAGGAGCUCCUGCUGCAUGGUGGGGGUUGGAAAGUUUCGGCGGUUGGGGAUGGACUCGCGGCUUAUCAGCUUGUUGGUGGGGUAGUGGCUUACCAAGGCUUUGACGGGUAGCCGGCCUGAGAGGGUGACCGGCCACAUUGGGACUGAGAUACGGCCCAGACUGCUACGGGAGGCAGCAGUGGGGAAUAUUGCACAAUGGGCGGAAGCCUGAUGCAGCAACGCCGCGUGCGGGAUGACGGCCUUCGGGUUGUAAACCGCUUUCGCCUGUGACGAAGCGUGAGUGACGGUAAUGGGUAAAGAAGCACCGGCUAACUACGUG
rnacentral:rRNA from 1 species